UCUCUGAUUUCCUUUCAAGCCAGACCGAAGAGGAACGUUUGGUUAUAUACUGUGCUGUCGUUGGUUUCCCUCGGCUGCACAAGUCUCAGUACAAAUCGGCAGCUCCUCCCUCUAGUCUACGCUGCCGGCGUCCCAGCUCCGCCCUCCACCGGCCUUCCGUCCUUCCUCGGGCAACUCGCUCCGGCCGAAUUGAGCUUCCUGACUGGACUGACAUUGUGAAGACGGCCACAUUCAAGGAGCUUGCAGCAUAUGAGCCUGAUUGGUACUACAUUCGAUCUGCAUCCAUGGCAAGGAAAAUCUACUUGACGAGUGGUCUUGGUGUUGGUACCUUCCGCAGGAUCUAUGGAGGGAGCAAGAGGAACUGAAGGGAAACAGAGAAUUACAACAGAGGUGCUGCGGUUGGAGAGAAACCAAUAAACUUUGGUAGAUUCCACAACGUCAGAGAUGGUAAUUUUCAAAACUAACAAGGUUAUAAAGAGAUAGUGACUCCAAAUUUGGAAAGAUAUAGCCAACAAUCACCAACAUGGAUGGUGUAGCUUUUCAACUUAUCCGAGAACAUGUUGUUCGGAAGAAGCUUGUCUGAAAACCUGUUUGGCAUCAAAUUAAAGGACAAAUGGAGCAUGAGUUCAAGUGACUCCUUAGGUUUGAAGGUUGCUUUUGUAGUGAAUCAGGUAUCCCACUUGACGUCCAACUGGAACAACUGUGUACUCAAUUAUUUUUCCAACGACCUUGGGAAUAAAUGAAGGUUUGAUCAUGUAUAUGAGCAUUUGAUAGUGAAUACAUGUAUAGUGCUUCACAAUUGAAAAGAAGUGGAAUGGUAGUUUCAGCUGCUAGUGUCUAAACCUCCAACAAAAUGGGAAACUUUUGCCAAAACAAAAGGGAUUUCCCUUGAGAGAUGGUUGCGUGAGACACUGAGAACCUAUAAAUUUGUGAGAUGUUCCAAGUCUGAAGGUAUCACUCUGGAGAGAGAAUUGCUGGGUCCAAGUUGUAACUCUGGAGUAAUUUACCAAUCUGUGCCGGUAUUUCACCAGUCAAGUGGAUCUGGCUCAAGUUUAGAAGCUGCUGUUUUGUCAUUUGUCCGAGCUCAGGUGGGAUUGGACCUGUAAUUUUAUUUCAACCAUACACAUUUUCCCCACUGUGGUCAGAGUGUACCAACAAACUGGUUCUCAUCAAGAGCAAUGAAUUCAAGAAUGAAUUGAAAUAUAGGAAAACUAACGAAAAAUCCAAAAAAACUUCUCUUUUAACGAAAAGCCAUUUUUAAAGGUAUAGUGAAU
rnacentral:sRNA from 1 species